rnacentral:misc_RNA from 1 species
GAUGAAGAACGCAGCGAAAUGCGAUAAGUAGUGUGAAUUGCAGAAUUCAGUAAAUCAUCGAAUCUUUGAACGCACAUUGCGCCCUUUGGUAUUCCAAAGGGCAUGCCUGUUCGAGCGUCAUUUGUACCCUCAAGCUUUGCUUGGUGUUGGGCGUCUUGUCUCUAGCUUUGCUGGAGACUCGCCUUAAAGUAAUUGGCAGCCGGCCUACUGGUUUCGGAGCGCAGCACAAGUCGCACUCUCUAUCAGCAAAGGUCUAGCAUCCACUAAGCCUUUUUUUCAACUUUUGACCUCGGAUCAGGUAGGGAUACCCGCUGAACUUAAGCAUAUCAAUAAGCGGAGGA